GGUUCUUUGCCCAGAGGGUGAUCCGUCACUGGAACAGGCUCCCCAGGGAAGUAGUUCUGGCACCAAGUCUGACAGAGUUCCAGAGCGUUUGGACAACAUUUUCAAGUACAUGGUGUGAUUGUAGGCGCUGUCCUGUGCAGAGCCAGGAAUUGGACUUCAGCAAUCCUAUUGGGUCCCUUCCAACUCAGGUUAUUCUACAAUUCUAUGAUUCUCCUUCCUCUCUGAUGAGGGUCAGGAGCUCAUGUGAAGCAUUUGGAGAUGCUAAAAGAUCCAGUUCUGCUGGAUCAACAGUCUUGUUGAUUAUUGUGACUGUUUUAGGAAAGUCUCCAAGAAAUCCUGUGUGAUGUGAACCUCUGGGCACAGGUAUUUCUUGAGACAUGGACCUUUUACUCUGCUCCUUGUUUGUUUUUUCAAUCAGCAAGGAAACCCCUUCUCUACACCAUGUGGAUUCUUUUUCCCAUGGAGAUGGAGCUCAUAGCUCAUAGAAGGAGGGAGCGCUGUUCCCCAGCAACCAUCUCCACUCUUCAGCCUUCAUCCCACCUCUAUACCUGGGCUUCAGCAAGACCUGCCUGCCUUAGAAAUCACUGUGACAUCACCAGGGAUCAUGGACCAGAAUCAAGAGUGAUAGAGAAAAGAAGCAGAUUGUGCCCUGUGAGUCAGGACUGGUUUCCUCUCUUCAUCUCUUGUGGCCCUGUUCUUUUUGUGGAAGAGGAUCUAUCCCUUAAUGCCUUUGCAGAGCAUGCAGCAUUGACUCCUGGAGUCUGACUAGUUCAGUAACUUCAGCUUCAAGAUCCCAAUAUUGUAUAAGACAUGCUGCUGCAAAGAACUGGCACAGUGUAAAAUCCAAGCUAGUUUUAGGGGUUCUAGUCAGCCCUGGUGAAGCAUUAGGCUUCCUACCCCACUGGCUGGUGUCUUCAUUCUAACGACUGCCUCAAGAGCAGAAGCAACAUCAAGCUCAGUGCAAUGCAAGUGUAGACACGGGACAGAAAAGACUCACUGACUGUACUGAAAUGACAAAAAACUCCUUGGACUGGACAUCUCUUUCAGAUUACGAGCAGCUGGGUUACAACCUGAGAUCAAAUCUCUUCCAAGGUGGCCCACUGAAGACCCGAAGCUUGAUGAGAGAUUCCUACACCCCUGAUAUAAUUAAGAAGGCAAUCAGAGAUCCCAAUAAUUGGCAUGGAAGGAGGAUUUAUGAGCUAGGGAGGUGGUAUGAGAAAUAUUUCCUAGAUCUUAACGUGCAGAAAGCAAUGAAGGACAAAUACGGGGAUAAAAAAGGCAAGCCUUAGAAGAUGAAGUGCAUUCAGCAAAAGGGAUCUUCUUCCUCAACCAUCUAAUAAACCUCCAUGUAAAACCUGAA